UACAGAGGUCUCAAGCGUUGUUCGGAUUCAUUGGGCGUAAAGGGUGCGUAGGCGGCGCGGUAAGUCCGCUGUGAAAGUCGGGGGCUCAACCCUCGAAUGCCGGUGGAUACUGUCGAGCUAGAGUGCGGAAGAGGCGAGUGGAAUUCCUGGUGUAGCGGUGAAAUGCGCAGAUAUCAGGAGGAACACCAAUUGCGAAGGCAGCUCGCUGGGACGUGACUGACGCUGGAGAACGCGAAAA
rnacentral:rRNA from 1 species